GCCGGGCAUGGUGGCGCAUGCCUGUAGUCCCAGCUACUUGGGAGGCUGAGGCAGGAGAAUCGCUUGAACCCAGGAGGUGGAGGUUGCAGUGAGCCAAGAUGGUGCCACUGCGCUCCAGCCUGGGCGACAGAGUGAGACUCCGUCUCAA
rnacentral:SRP_RNA from 2 species